rnacentral:lncRNA from 1 species
CCAACUAUAACAUGAAAGAGUUCAAUAGAUAAUAAAAUGAAAUUAAAAAGUAAAAUUCAAAUCCACAAAAUACCACAACCCAAUACUAUCUACUGGCCUCUAUCCUCAAAACGUCUACUAAGUAGGGACAUGAUCCCGACAAUGCCAAAAGAAAACCAAGAGAAUUGAUAGUAUAAAAUAAUGGAAAAGUAACAAGGCCUUCUGGAGGAUGGGGGGCUCACCACUUCUCACUAGUUAUCCAAUGGAGUAACGAACCACCUAAUGCUACAAAGGGUCACAACAAAAGGCCCUUGAACCUACAACACGAAUUGAUGUAGUAUCCGGAGAUGGUCAGUAUGAUGAGUAUUCGCAUGCAACCUAAGAAAAGAUAUAAAAUAUGCAUUUACCAAUAUCAGUCAUAAAACAGAAUCAUUAUCGACAAUAAUCAUGAAGUAAGGAGUGGGGAACACACUGACAUGACCAUGUAAAAAUUGCUCCUGAACUAUGUAGCUUGGAUAGACCUUAAGUCACCCACGGACUAUAUGGGUCGGUUUCCCCCACCGAGGGAGCGUCGGUCUAUGUUAGUUGCAUGGAUCAAGGAUUAGGCCAUAGUAACUAGUAGACCAUAAUCUCCUAAAAGAAUAAUUUCGUACAACUUCUCAAAGCCAGUGCACAGUGCUCAUAAAACCCUAAUGUCGGCAAAUAUGAUUUCAAGUGUUGGUCACAAGGACUAUACCUUCUCGGUAAAGCUACACUAUUUCCAUUAAGCCAAAUUAAAAUAUUUUCACAAACCAUUAACCAUAGAGUUUUCCAUUAAGGCAUUUCCAAAUUGGUAUCGACAUACCAAGACUUGAAAGGCAUGCAUAAUAUGCUAUACUAUUUUCAUUUAACAACUUAAGCUUAAAUUUCCAAUUUGAAAGUCCAAUAUAGACCAUUUUUCCAUUAAUGAUUUACAAUGUUUCAAAGGAUGAGUUAAACACUAUAAAAUCCCCAUUUAAAUCUAAGUUAUGCAAUAGGUUGAGGUUCAGAUCAUUUCAUGCAAAACCAUAUCGAUUCUGAAAUUAAGAUAGCAAAUUCAACCUUUCUGUAGUGACACUUCAACUAACAAACAAUUAUUUAAAUAUGUAAAACAACUAAGACAAAAGGAAACCAAUAUAAGUUUACGACAACUAAAUCCCUCAAACAUAACUUUAAACAGCCAUUAAAAUGUAUAAAUAUCAAGUAAGUACAACAAUUUACAGAUAAUUGAAAUAUGGGAGUGUUCAACAUACCUUUUUAAGAGAAAUUUCUCAAAGAUUGCUAGAAGAGAAGUCCUAAGAUUAAACCCUAACCAUAUUGCUUUUCAACCUUAACUUUAUCUUUUUCUUGAGUGUGGAAAGGAGGAAAAAUGUGAAAAUUUCAUAACUGAAUAGUAAAAGAGGUUUAUAUAGUGAUUGGAGUCGUUUAUCGAUAAAAUACCAAAAAUCCCUUGACCUAAACUAAAAUAAUAAAAUCUGACUGUAUGUGCCCUUGGGCGAGGCACACCCUUAUCAUGCUAGCCCAAGUGUGUGACAUGGCCUUAUCGCGGAGUGAUAUGAGUGUGUUACGCUCUUAUCGUAAACCAUCACUGGUUUUCGCAAUAAGGGUGUGCCUCACCUCCGUGGCAUGCCCUUAAUGCGGGCCCCUAUUAUUUUGGGGUAGUGAAACAUCCCAAAACACACUCUUAAAAUUUUGAAACACAUCCUAAUGAUACCAUUAUCAUUCCUCAUCAUAAUUUCACUGAAAGAUCACUGUUAAACACUAAAGAGCUAUCGAAUUAAAUUAUUGAAAUUCUUGGGGGGUGUAACGCCCCAAAUCUGAUACCGAAAAUACUACACGGUGCUAGCAAUCCCGAAGGACCACAAGCUAACCCAUGACUUAUAUCUGUAGCUAAGCACUGCGUAAUAUAUUGUAUAAAUGCAGAAUAAAAGGGCUGAAAGGCCAUAAGGUUCAAAUAUCUGAUGAAACAAAACAUCUGGAAAUACUGUAUAUCAAUACCAAACUAAAAUAAACUGUCUGAACAUAUUAGUAUGAAAGCCUCUAAACUGUCUGAAAACUAUGGAGUUAAUGGGACAUGUCCCCAAAUAACUCCGUCUACUAAAACUAAAAUAAUGAAAUAAUCAUGCAAUCCAAUAAUGAUGGGGACUCACUUCAAAUCUACUGCUGCUGGCCGAAUCUGAAGCUAAGAAUGAUCGGGAAUGUGAGUGUCCGAACUUAUGGUAUAAAAUACCAUAGUGCAGAAGAAAAGUAUGCGUCAGUAUGUUUGAAUAUACUGGUAUGCAAAGUGAGGUAGGCUAAAUUCAUGAGGUUCAUAUGCAUGAACAAUACUAACUGACUGAAUAACAUGAAUGUGAGAAUACAUACAUAAAUACGUAACUGUAAAUGAAAUCAUGAUAAUACUAACUACAGAGUCUGAAUACUCAUAACAUUAGUUUCAUAUAACUAAUAUACUAAUAACUGAGUGACUAUGUCUGACAGUCCUGAUUCUAAUGGAAAUAGCCGAGUUCCCUAUGAACUGAGUGACUAUAUCUGACAAUCCUAAAUCUGAAGAACUAUCUGAGUUCUUUUAUUAAGACUAAGGCUGAGAUUGCAGGAAGUAGUCAUCUAACCAACAUGCCCCUUUUAUGUAUAGAGUUGGGCUCCAAUCUGUAACCCCAAUUGGAAGGGUGUCAAUACCGUGCCACUAGUAAGGACAAGCUGUGAGUGACCCUCAUCUGGUAGUAUCCCCAAAGGAGAACGGUGAGACUCUCAUCUGGAAGUGUUAAUCCACCUCAUCAGUCCUCAACUGUCAGUGUUGAUGUCUCAACCUAUGCUAGCUACAUAGUUCUAGAACGCAAAGAUUUCUUCUAAGGAUCACACCCUCUACUGUCAAUGUGUGCCCUCAUCCUUGGGUUUGCUCGGUGCUGUAUCCUACUCCCAACUGAAUAGAUAAUAAACUGAUUAUACUUAGAUGAACUGGAAUGAGUUCACUAAAUUCCAUAGACUAGCGGAAUAUUACUGAAUUCUAUUAACUAACUGAGUUCAUAAGAUUACUGAGUUUUCCUGAGUCAUGUAACUGGCUAAAUUCUACUGAGUUCUAAAACUGAUUAGGAAUACUAGUGAUCAUGGCGUGACUGAGAUUAUCAUGAAAAUGAAACUGUAUCUAGGCACACAGCUAAAUUAUCAGGUAUUGAAUACCCCCAGGACUCGAUAGCAUGAAAAUAAACAGGACAUGAUACUUCUUGAGCUCAUAACAAUUGCUAACAAUUCAUAAUACAACCAUUGAGGGAUUUCAUGAUGCACUUGAUACUCAUAGUAUUGUACAUGAAUAUGAAUACAUUUCAACAUAUGAUAAGUUUACAAUCUAGUCUCAUGAACACUCCAUCAAUUCAUCACAAGACAUAACAUUAGUAUGGGAGUCAUUUUGUACAUAUAGUUAUAGCCUAAGUUCAUCAUGUAAAUCAGUAAGGGUUCAUAAAACACAAUUCUACUCACUUAGGCAUUUUGUCAUACAUAUGGAAUGCAUAUACUUAGGCUUAGGCAUGAACAUUAAGCAGUUACAUCAUGGCUACAUUAAUCAACCCAAUUUCAUGAAAUUCAUUCCACAUGCUAACAGAAUAUCAUGAAAACACACUAAAGAUUCCAACUUGGGAAUCAUAAAACACAUCAACAUGAUCAUAAUCAAUCCACAACAUGAAUAUCAAAAUUUAUAAUUUAAAAUUUAGAUCCUUGGAAUCCUAGUAUGAAAGGGAUCCUUAGAUGAAUACUUUACAUACCUUAGAUGGAAGUUUCUUUGAGAUUGAGGGAGGAAAGCUUAAAUUCUUAACUUGAAUUUAAUCACCUAGGAUUUCUUGUUCUUGAGAAAUUGUUGAAUAAAGAAUGUAUUUAGCCAAAAGAGGGCUAAAUUUCGUGUUUAUGAGAGCUAAAGGUUGGGGAAAAUGACCUAAUUGCCCUUAAGAAUGCAGUCAUUUAGUGACUAAAACUAGGCACCGACGCGUUGAGCGACGCGUCGAUGGCUUCAACGUGAUACCCAAUACGUCGUGCCAAGCCUUAGUAGUUUUGACUCUGGUAACCUGCAACAAUGUUAACCAACGUGAUAGGCGAUGUGGCGCGCUAAGAUUGUGUUGGUCCACUAUUUUGGGACACCAAACGUGGUCUAAACGAGUUCCAAAAAAUCUAAAACUUGUCUGAGAACGCCUAUCGACCUCUCUGAUCAUGAAUUAACAAAAAUAUAGACCAUUAAGGGACAUUAUGGUCACCAAAUGAGAUUGCCAACUUUCAAAGGCGAAAAAUAAACUAAGUAUAGGAACUUAGCUAGAAUUUUCUAAGUCUGAGACCCCUUGACAAGCCUUAAAGGAUGAAUUAAGCUUAGAAAUUUUUCGGAGUCUUACAGGGGAGGGAGUCAACAUACAUAGGCUCAUAUUUUAAUGCGUUGUAGACCCCAUAAUACCCGUGGGGUUACAAUUCUUUAGUUUAAAUUAUAUAUAUAUAUAUAUAUAUAUAUAUAUGUAUGGAAGCUACAUAAUAAGAGAGACUAUAAUUUAUAACAAUUUUCUAAACAUGUCUCACGAGUGCAGUUCAAAUCUUCUUCUUUGUCAAAUAUAGUAAAUUACAUUGUAUAUUUAAGGGACAUCAUCACGUUUGCCUGAGAUCUUAUCUGUCAUUUUUAUUUUUUUGCAUAUCAUGUGAAGAAUCUUUUAGCGAGAACAUUUAUUUGGUUAUACAGUUUGGUGUAUUCAAUGUACACUGAAAAGUAAACAAAGUUGGAAAUUAAUUCCCUUUUCGAGCAGCAUUUUAAGAGAAUGUGCCAUACCUCUAGUGUGUGGGAUAUGAAAAUCACUCCAUUAGAAUACACCAGUAACACUAGGCAUAGCCCGUGAUGGAUUAUUCUUUGCUGUAGGGUCUUCAUUGCUGGAAUCAUGGAAUAGGUGUCGAUGCUUGGUAUAGUAUUAUAUAAUCAUUUGAGUUGUUUUGCCUAUCAAAGGCCGAGAAUUCUUUCAGUUUAGAAUUAACUCAAAAACGUGGUUUGAAGGAAAAGGAAUAUGAGGAAAUAUUGGUAUGCUAUGAAUUGUGAUCAUGAUACAAGAGUUAGUAACUGCCAGUAAACUUAGGAUUCUUGGAGAUAUAAAUUUGGUAUGACAUAUUUAAUAUGGUCCUGCCUAUUCUAAUGUACACNNNNN